AGAGUUUGAUCAUGGCUCAGGAUGAACGCUAGCUACAGGCUUAACACAUGCAAGUCGAGGGGAAACGACAUCGAAAGCUUGCUUUUGAUGGGCGUCGACCGGCGCACGGGUGAGUAACGCGUAUCCAACCUGCCCAUCACUUGGGGAUAACCUUGCGAAAGUAAGACUAAUACCCAAUGAUAUCUCUAGAAGGCAUCUGAAAGAGAUUAAAGAUUUAUCGGUGAUGGAUGGGGAUGCGUCUGAUUAGCUUGUGCGGGUACGCCACAAGCACGAUCAGUAGGGGUUCUGAGAGGAAGGUCCCCCANAUUGGAACUGAGACACGGUCCAAACUCCUACGGGAGGCA
rnacentral:rRNA from 1 species